CGGGGCGUAGCUCAGCCUGGUAGAGCGGCCGGCUGUAGUGGGCGUCUAUUGACGCUCCGUCAGCGGCAGCUCCCACAGAAACCGGCAGGCCGGGGGUUCGAGUCCCCCCGCCCCGA
rnacentral:tRNA from 1 species